UGGGGAAUAUUGCACAAUGGGCGCAAGCCUGAUGCAGCGACGCCGCGUGGAGGAUGAAGGUCUUCGGAUUGUAAACUCCUGUUAAGUGGGAAGAAAGACUGCGCUCUAAUAAAGCGUGGGGAUGACGGUACCACUAAAGAAAGCACCGGCAAACUUCGUGCCAGCAGCCGCGGUAAUACGAAGGGUGCGAGCGUUAUUCGGAAUGACUGGGCGUAAAGAGCGUGAAGGCGGUUUUUUAAGUCACCUGUUAAAGAGCCCAGCUUAACUGGGCACCUGCGGGUGAAACUGAAGAGCUAGAGUAUGGGAGAGAAAGGUAGAAUUCUCGGAGUAGCGGUAAAAUGCGUAGAUCUCGAGAGGAAUACCGGUUGCGAAGGCGGCCUUUUGGCCCAUUACUGACGCUCAAGCGCGAAAGCGUGGGGAGCAAACAGGAUUAGAUACCCGCGUAGUCC
rnacentral:rRNA from 1 species